rnacentral:rRNA from 1 species
UACGAAGGGGGCUAGCGUUGCUCGGAAUCACUGGGCGUAAAGCGCACGUAGGCGGCUUUUUAAGUCAGGGGUGAAAUCCUGGAGCUCAACUCCAGAACUGCCUUUGAUACUGAGAGCUUGAGUCCGGGAGAGGUGAGUGGAACUGCGAGUGUAGAGGUGAAAUCGUAGAUAUUCGCAAGAACACCAGUGGCGAAGGCGGCUCACUGGCCCGGAACUGACGCUGAGGUGCGAAAGCGUGGGGAGCAAACAGGG